AACGCACAUUGCGCCCCUUGGUAUUCCGAGGGGCAUGCCUGUUCGAGCGUCAUUAUAACCACUCAAGCCUGGCUUGGUGUUGGGGUUCGCGGUCCCGCGGCCCUUAAAAUCAGUGGCGGUGCCGUCUGGCUCUCAGCGUAGUAACAACUCUCGCUAUAGGGUCCCGGCGGUUGCUUGCCAGAACAACCCCUUCUAAGGUUGACCUCGGAUCAGGUAGGGAUACCCGCUGAACUUAA
rnacentral:misc_RNA from 1 species